rnacentral:snoRNA from 1 species
GCCUUUGGGUGAUAAGGCAUGGAACAAGCGCUGCGCAGUAUCUGACACCCAUGGGGCGUGGCUCUGCACUGCAUCUCUUCUGAGAACAGC